CACUACCACCCUCGAGGUUAAGGAUCUCGAUGAGGCUGUGGCAAUGAAGUGGGGACUCUGGAACUCCUAGUUCAUCUAUUCUCUAGACAAGACGCUUCCUCGAUUCUAUGUUGAACUCCUCGAGCAUGUACAGAAGUACAUCCACGUCGAGAAAGCUAUGACUGACUAGUGUCUGUUUGAUGGAAAGGGCCAAAAGAAAAAGGCAAGAAAAGGAGGAAUCUCCGAUGAGCCUAGUCAGAUCUAUGCUGAAAAGGAGGCUCCACCUUUUCGAUUAAGCCAAAAGCCCAAGAACUUUGUGAGUAGGUACAACUCUUAUACCCCUCUGAUUGCUUUUCGAUCAUAGAUUCUUAUGG
rnacentral:lncRNA from 1 species